rnacentral:rRNA from 1 species
AGAGUUUGAUCCUGGCUCAGAUUGAACGCUGGCGGUAUGCUUUACACAUGCAAGUCGAACGGGCUUGGGGGCUUGCUCCUAGGUUAGUGGCGAACGGGUGAGUAAUAUAUCGGAACAUAUCCGGAAGUGGGGGAUAUGGAAGAUGUAUCCGAUCUACCCCGAGAGAGAGGGGGGCGGACCCCAUCUCGAUGGAGUGGCCGAUACCGCGAUAUUAGCUAGAUGGUGAGGUAAAGGCUCACCAUGGCGACGAUCCGUAGCGGGUCUGAGAGGACGACCCGCCACACUGAACUGAGACACGUC